CAUUUGUUCAAUUUAUUAGGGAAUAAGAAGACAAAACCCACCUCUUCCCUUCACCCCUUUAUUCUUCAUGGUUUAUGAAGACCAAAUUCAAUUUUGCUUGUUCUUUUUACUUGUUUCUUAAUUUGGGCAAACCAAUCAAAGUUGAUUGACUAUGCUUAGCUCAAUCUAGAGCUUAUCUCACUCCUUCACGGCUAAGAAUUGAUGAUCCGAAGUCACAUUUUGCUUCCUUAUAAUUGGUUACCUAAUACUCAAGCUUAUCACUUUAACAAACUUCAUCUUAUGAUCCCUAUCUUUUAUUUCUUUCAAGUUCUUGGAAUAAUAAUACUCCAUAUAUAUUUAACGUAUUACCGUCCAUCACUACCACACGGCUAUCACCGCUCUUUCCUUUGCUUGAAAUGGUUGUGGUCAUCUCUUUCCCUUGCCACCAAGCUCACGCACCGCAGCCACGUGUACUCUUCUCUUUCCUCCAUUCAUGGCAUGCUUGGUGAAACUAAGAAUGGUCUUUGAGACUACUCUGUACACAUGAAACCAAAGUGAGCUAAUUUUGUUGCUCUUAUUUUGAUUAUAAGUUUAUCCUUUAUCUGAGAUACAAACUUUUUACUUUCUUUGAAAACGAUUAUGUAGAUAUUUUGAUAAUAAGAAAAUGAUGUUAAAAUAUAGUAGUAGUUUGCUAUCUAAGUUCUAUGUUUGUUCUUAUUUUACUCUUAAAAGUGUAGUGUUUGUAUAUAUUCUAAUAUUAUUUUGCACAAGGAAUUGAUGAUUAUGUAAUUCGUAUAUUCAACUUCCUAAAAAUGAGUUUUAAUACCAAAGCAAUUUGAGAGUUCUCUAAAUUAAAGUUUUUAUAGUAAUAUUUUCUACUAAUAUGAAUAGUAGUACUAUCUAUUUUUAAAGUAAUGCUCAUUUUACUCAAAAUGAGGUACCACUUGUUUUGUUCUCUAAAAAUAAGUUUAUACUUUAUUUUAUCAAAGGUUUUGAAUUAAGAAGUUAUUAAUGAGUAUUUAUUAUUUUUGGGUAUGAUCGAAUAAAUCAUGACGAUGAGGAAUUAAUGACGGAGGUUGAGAGUUCGAAUGAUGAUUAUUGGAGAACAAGCUAAGUGAGAUGAUUAAGGAUGAUCAAAUGAGGAAUAAUGAUGACAGAGCUGAAAUUAAUCAAAAGCAAAGGGAUUAAAGGAAUUUAGUUAGUUUAGGGAUUAUGGAAUCAAGGCUUAUGUAUUAUGGAUCAUCGAGAGCUGAGAUAGAUUGAUUAUUUUAUCACAGUAAGGAAGACUGGAGUUGUAUUUUUUUUAUUGAAUAUUCUCGUUAAGGAGUAUGUUUAUUUGUAGGCCCAUAAUCCACAGGUGGCUACGAGAUUAUCUAUAUAUAAUUGAUUCCGCUUAGUAUGA